rfam:Medicago truncatula strain A17 chromosome 4, whole genome shotgun sequence.
UUAUAAGCAAAAAUCUACUUUUUAGGUUCAUUGAAUAUCUAAUGUAUGUGGUCUAUAAUAUAUACCAAGUACAUUAAGUAUUCAAUGAACCAAAAAAGUAGCGUUUUGCUUAUAA